rnacentral:rRNA from 1 species
AUGAAGGUUAGUACUCUGAAAGGGGUUCAAUUACUUUCCAAGGUGGUGAACCUUAUUGAUCCUGUUUCUAAUAGUUGGGAUGAAGACUUGAUAAAACAUUCUUUGUGUCCAGUCAAUGCACAACAGGUCCUCACAAUUCCUCCCCCACAACAUGAUAUGUCAGAUUUUGUCGCUUGGAGCUUCACUAAGAACGAGUUGUUUUCUGUUCGGUCAGCUUACUUCGUGGAAUGGAAUCAGCAAUAUGAGAACAAACUACACCACACCAAUGGUAUCGGACAAUCCACACUUAAUCCUAUUUGGUGUAAUAUUUGGAAGCUAGCGUGCUCUGCAAAGGUUAAUUUUUUUAUUUGGCGUACGUUACAUGGUACCCUCCCACCCCGUGUUACGCUUGCUAAUAGACAUAUGAAAGUGUCACCCCUUUGUCCCUCUUGCUCUGCUGGUCUAGAAGAUACAAAGCACUUCUUGUUCUUAUGCAAUACAACUAGGGAUGUUUGGAGAAGGCUAGGGAUGGAGAAUUAUUAA